GACGAACGCUGGCGGCGUGCUUAACACAUGCAAGUCGAACGGAAAGGCCCUGCUUUUGUGGGGUGCUCGAGUGGCGAACGGGUGAGUAACACGUGAGUAACCUGCCCUUGACUUUGGGAUAACUUCAGGAAACUGGGGCUAAUACCGUAUAGGAGCUCCUGCUGCAUGGUGGGGGUUGGAAAGUUUCGGCGGUUGGGGAUGGACUCGCGGCUUAUCCGCUUGUUGGUGGGGUAGUGGCUUACCAAGGCUUUGACGGGUAGCCGGCCUGAGAGGGUGACUGGCCACAUUGGGACUGAGGUACGGCCCAGACUCCAACGGGGGGCAGCAGUGGGGAAUAUUGCCCAAUGGGAGGAAGCCUGAUGAAGAAACGCCGCGUGCGGGAUGACGGCCUUCGGGUUGUAAACCGCUUUCGCCUGUGACGAAGCGUGAGUGACGGUAAUGGGUAAAGAAGCACCGGCUAACUACGUG
rnacentral:rRNA from 1 species